GAUGAACGCUGGCGGCGUGCCUAAUACAUGCAAGUCGAGCGAACAGACGAGAGUGCUUGCACUCUCUGACGUUAGCGGCGGACGGGUGAGUAACACGUGGGUAACCUACCUAUAAGACUGGGAUAACUUCGGGAAACCGGAGCUAAUACCGGAUAAUAUUUAGCUUCGCAUGAAGCAAUAGUGAAAGACGGUUCUGCUGUCACUUAUAGAUGGACCCGCGGUGUAUUAGCUAGUUGGUGAGGUAACGGCUCACCAAGGCAACGAUACAUAGCCGACCUGAGAGGGUGAUCGGCCACACUGGGACUGAGACACGGCCCAGACUCCUACGGGAGGCAGCAGUAGGGAAUCUUCCGCAAUGGACGAAAGUCUGACGGAGCAAUGCCGCGUGAGUGAAGAAGGUUUUCGGAUCGUAAAACUCUGUUGUAAGGGAAGAACAAGUACGUUAGUAACUGAACGUACCUUGACGGUACCUUACCAGAAAGCCACGGCUAACUACGUGC
rnacentral:rRNA from 1 species